rnacentral:rRNA from 1 species
AACGAACGCUGGCGGCAUGCCUAACACAUGCAAGUCGAACGAGACCUUCGGGUCUAGUGGCGCACGGGUGCGUAACGCGUGGGAACCUGCCCUUAGGUUCGGAAUAACUCCCCGAAAGGGGUGCUAAUACCGGAUAAUGUCUUCGGACCAAAGAUUUAUCGCCUUUGGAUGGGCCCGCGUUGGAUUAGCUAGUUGGUAGGGUAAAAGCCUACCAAGGCGACGAUCCAUAGCUGGUCUGAGAGGAUGAUCAGCCACACUGGGACUGAGACACGGCCCAGACUCCUGCGCGAGGAGGGAGUGGGUGAUGUAGGAAAAUGGGGGAAGGCAUGAAGCGCUACUGCCGGGGGAAUAAUGAAGGCAGUAGGGUAGAAAUGCUCUUUUACCCGGGAUGAUAAUGACGGUACCGAAAUAGUAAGCUCCGGCUAACUCCGUG